rnacentral:rRNA from 1 species
AUGUGUCUACCAAAGGAGCAAGGAGGUAUGGGUUUUCGUGACGUUCACAGUUCCAAAUUGGCGAUGCUGGCAAAACAGUGUUGGCGGUUGAUUGAGAACAUUGAAUCAUUGUGUGCCAGAGUGUUGAGAGCUGGACAUUACCCUUAUGGGGAUAUUCUUAACUGUGAAUUAAAAAAGUCAUUGUAUGUAUGACAGAGUAUAUGGACAGGGAUCCAAACCUUCAAGAAUGGCCACAUUUCGAGAGUUGGAGAUGGUGCAAAAAUAGAUAUUUGAAGCGAUAAUUGGAUUCCAAGCAGUGCAGCAAGGAAAGUGGUGACAAAAGGUAAUCAAGUAUUGUCAAGAGUGAAUGAUCUUAUAGACCCAAUUACAGGGGAGUAGGAUGGACAAUUACUCCGGGACAACUUUUGGCAUAUUGACGCAUAGCGUGUUCUGCAGAUUCCACUACACCAUCAAAUAACGGAGGAUUACGUUGCAUGGCACCUUCCAAAAAGCGGCAUUUUCUCAGUACGUUCAACCUAUUAUAAAGAAUGGGAGGAUACAUACAAUGAAAGCACUAGUCCAAGUCACCAUUGUGGUUCCCGGCCACACCUGGUAUGGAGGAAAAUUUGGAGUCUAAAACUGUCAGGAAAAAUUAAGAUCUUCCUAUGGAGAUGUCUAUGUAAUGCUAUUCCCUGUUUUUGUGUUCUUGCAAACCGUCACAUUGGCAAUAUUUCUCAAUGCCCAAUUUGCAUAGCGGUAGCACAAGAUAUCAAGCAUGCUUUGUUUAACUGCGUAAGAGCAAAGGCAGUAUGGGCCGCGCUUGGGAUUGAGAGGGUCGUACGUGAUGCGUUGCUUGUUGAUCGCUCGGGUUCUGGUGUGCCUCUUGUGUGA